rnacentral:lncRNA from 1 species
CAGCAGAUGAACAUCAGUUUCUCACUGUAAUGUAGUACCCAGCAAUACUGUGACCAGGCCCAGCAGAUGAACAUCAGUUUCUCACUGUAAUGUACUAACCAACCUUCAUGUAGUUUUCUUCGGGUGUCUCCAGAUGUCUUUUUACAUAUAGUUUGUUUGAAUCACGAUCAAACUAAUUAUUUCCUUUGGCCAAAACGGAUGCACGAUGGUACAGAUUCUGAGAUGAAGGGAUUCUCUCCCCCUAAGAUGAAAGCAAGAGAAAAUUAAUGUUUGGGAUGGAGGAGGAGAGAGCUGUAGGUCUGAGGCUCAAGGGCAUUAGUCUCGGUAGAACAAAGGAAUGUGAGAUCAUUUUGAGGUAAGGAUUUGGGAGACUGGCUAGAAGUUUGUGAGUCAGAGGUUUGGAAUAGAGCUUCAGGAGUGUGAUAGCGAAUAAAAUUAAAAUGUAUGAAAGGCUCACUAAGAAAUAAUGAGAAUUAAACUGAGGUUUAUUAGCAUUGUCUUGUUGACAAAUAAUCCACUUGUGUUCUUGGCUUUCUUCAUGGCUAGUUAAUGGCUUUACGUAUACGGUUUAGAUGAGUCACAAAUGGGUAGAGUUGAAGAAUUGAAAGCAAAUUUGCAGGAAUCGAAGUGUGGCCUGAGCAAAAGGCUGAAAUGAGCUGAGCUUGGAAGGAAUUUUUGCUAAAGAUGGUGAUGGAUUAUAAAACAGAGGGGACCAGGAGCCAGAAAACUCAGUAGGAGAAAUGGAAAGAUAGGAAAGUGAUGGUCAGAAGGCACGCUCAUAGUCGAAAGUCUUCAUAUGCUUAUUGGUUGACAGGUGAUUGAAGCUAUGAGUAAUUGACACAAAGUCACAAGGAGGUAGUAUGGGGCAGUCACAAGCCUGGGUACCCUUCUGCUUUGCCACCUAUAAGCUGUGUGACAUCAGGGAAAUGCACAUGUGGAAUCUGUUUCAUUGCACGGCGAACAAAAGCAGGUGAGUGUAAAAACAAUACUUCCAGCUCCUCCACGGCAGCACUUGCGCCUCUAGUCAGGCUGAAUUGAAGGUAAAGGCACAUUUUAUCAUUGCUGGCUGCUAUCUGCUUCCCUUAACCCUGUUAGACAAGAGAUACUUUCAAAAGUUGGGUAUAAGUAACAGUUUUGCAAAUUGAGGCAUCUUUCC